GUUUCUGUAGUGUAGUGGUUAUCACGUUCGCCUCACACACGAAAGGUCCCCGGUUCAAAACCGGGCAGAAACA
rnacentral:tRNA from 2 species